AAAGCACGGUCUAUAAAGCAUUCCUCUGCCUAUAGCCCUGCUUGGAGGAUUUCCUGAGAGAGCUGUCCUGUUAGCCUGCCUGACCGUAAACCCUGAGAGUCCAAGCUGUUGUGACAUCAGCUGCUCCAUCUCGGCCGAGGCGCAACACAGCGAGGCACAGCUCCUUCAUCUCUUAUUCUCAUUGAUCUGAAUGCACAUGACUCAGUAGCACUGGGGAAAGGAAACCAAAGGAGCUGCUGCUCCUCAUCUUCACGGGGUUUAUACAUACACAGAGAAGUAAGCGUGAAGCACAGAAACGCUCAUGCAUGGAAAAUGGAAUUAGUGAGAUGCUUCUGCUCACAAGCAGACAAAGGUACCUGCUGAUUCUGCCUGGUACACUGCAUGUUCACUCCAUCGGCAUCUGUCAUGGUUCAAGCUGGAGGUGACAGCCUUGCCCUUCCUUCUGGAGUACUUGCAGACUGCAGAGACUGAGAGCGGCUUGAAUCCAGUCCACUGGGAACUGUGCAGCUGCAUGAGGAAAAGCAGAAUGAGACUCAAUGCUACAGAAGAAACGGGACAACUUUGUUAUGCUUCAUGUCAUAGAUCUGAAGGACUGCUUGAUAUGUAUAGAAAUGGCAGUAAGAGACAUGGAAGGGGCUGGAUCAUGCCCCUUUGGCUCCCCAGGAAUGGGGGUCCUGCACCCCAUCCUUCUCAUCCCUCUAACCACAAGGCCAGGCCUGGGUUUGCUUCCCCAGCAGCACAUUUCUGUGCAGCUCCGUAGCUGGUGCUGACACCAGCUGCAGCCCACAGAUUCAGUUCUGAAUGGAGGAGGCAGCAAUAUUGAGGCGUGGACACGCAGCUGAGGUGGUCGAGGUGCCAUGAACAACCAUGGAAAGCAGCAGCCCAUGAUCGAGACGAGGCUUGAAAAAACACUUGUCAGAGAUGCUGAAGACGUUCAAGAAGAGGAGGAGACAGGAAGAGAUGGGGAAUUUUAAUAAACAUUGAACAGUUUUUGCAUCACUUCAGAGUCAUUUGAAGCAUCUGAGAAUGAGCCUGCUGUGACGGGGCCUGCCUUGCUGUUCAAUGAGAACGUGGGUGAGCUCAGGAAAGAGGGGCUGCAGAGGACAACCAGCCUCAUCGUGACUCAAACGUCCUUCCAUAAAGGAAGAGAAACCCCUAGCAACAACCCCACACAUUAAAGUCAACCCUAUACCUAUGUUGCAUUCUGAAUACAUUCGGUAGGUAAUAAGCAAAGGGUUCUGUUGAGACAGCUCAGUGUCCUCAAACCAGGGCACACGACACCCCAAAGGAGUGAUGAGUUUAAGCA